rnacentral:rRNA from 5 species
GUGGGUAGUUUGACUGGGGCGGUCUCCUCCUAAAGAGUAACGGAGGAGCACGAAGGUUGGCUAAUCCUGGUCGGACAUCAGGAGGUUAGUGCAAUGGCAUAAGCCAGCUUGACUGCGAGCGUGACGGCGCGAGCAGGUGCGAAAGCAGGUCAUAGUGAUCCGGUGGUUCUGAAUGGAAGGGCCAUCGCUCAACGGAUAAAAGGUACUCCGGGGAUAACAGGCUGAUACCGCCCAAGAGUUCAUAUCGACGGCGGUGUUUGGCACCUCGAUGUCGGCUCAUCACAUCCUGGGGCUGAAGUAGGUCCCAAGGGUAUGGCUGUUCGCCAUUUAAAGUGGUACGCGAGCUGGGUUUAGAACGUCGUGAGACAGUUCGGUCCCUAUCUGCCGUGGGCGCUGGAGAACUGAGGGGGGCUGCUCCUAGUACGAGAGGACCGGAGUGGACGCAUCACUGGUGUUCGGGUUGUCAUGCCAAUGGCACUGCCCGGUAGCUAAAUGCGGAAGAGAUAAGUGCUGAAAGCAUCUAAGCACGAAACUUGCCCCGAGAUGAGUUCUCCCUGAGACUUAGAGUCUCCUGAAGGAACGUUGAAGACGACGACGUUGAUAGGCCGGGUGUGUAA